UUUUUUUUUUUUUUUUUUUAGGACAAAGAACCUAGAGGGAUUAUUCCAUUAGAAAAUCUUAGCAUAAGAGAAGUUGAAGACCCUAGGAAACCAAACUGCUUUGAGCUCUAUAACCCCAGUCAUAAAGGCCAAGUGAUUAAAGCCUGUAAAACCGAAGCUGAUGGCAGAGUGGUGGAAGGCAACCAUGUAGUGUAUAGGAUAUCUGCUCCCACCCCAGAAGAAAAAGAAGAGUGGAUUAAGUCUAUCAAAGCAAGCAUCAGCAGGGAUCCCUUUUACGACAUGCUGGCGACAAGGAAACGAAGAAUUGCAAACAAGAAAUAGGACUUGAUGGGUAGCAUGUAUACCUGCAUCCACUUCUACAUGGGCUAUAAUGGAGUGUAAUGUAGACCUUGGGCAAACUAAAGGAAGACAGUAACUGUACAUUUUUUUUUAAAUAUAUAUAUAUAUA